AUGGUGACUCCACUGGUCCUGUUGUGUUCCCUUGUAUUCUUCACUAAAGACUCAAAUUGUCAGAUCUCUGUGAAUCAACCAUCAGCACCGAAAACAGUUUCUCCUGGGGGAAGUGUCACCUUCAGUUGUACCACUGGGAGUAGCGUGGGUAGCUACAUACACUGGUAUCAGCAGAGACCUGGAGAAAAACCUAAACUCCUGAUUUACUAUGCAAGUAAUCGCUACGGAGACACCCCGAGUCGCUUCACUGGCAGCGGGUCAGGAACUUCAUUCAGUUUGACUAUCAGUGGAGUGCAGCCUGAAGACGCCGGCCAUUACUACUGUGGGCAGCAGGGCUACAGCUUCCCUUUUGCACAGUGAUUGAGACUCGUACAA